CAGGCCUGAGGAUUUCGUUGGAAACGGGAUUGUCUUCAUAUAAACUCUAGGCAGAAGCAUUCUCAGAAGCUUCAUUGGGAUGUUUAAAUUGAAGUCACAGUGUUGAACAGUCCCUUUCAUAGAGCAGGUUUGAAACACUCUUUUUGUAGUUUCUGGAAGUGGACAUUUGGAGAGAUCUCAUUAAUACGGUGAUAAAGGAAAUAUCU
rnacentral:lncRNA from 1 species